CUUACCGGAUCUCUCUCUAUCUUUAACGUACGUUGGCCGAAGAACCUUUCCCACGCCGUUCGAUUCGUGUUCUUCGUCAACGGCGGUGGAUGAUGGUCGUCGGUGGGGCUGAAGUGGAGCCAAGCGACGGGAACCACCAACUCGGGUUCAUGUUCCCAAUUCUACGAUUAGGCCACUACUUUCUCCUUUGAUUUGAUUUUCGCAAUGGCUGGUAAGAAAUAAUUGACAAUUCUACUAUCUCACCUUCAAAACAGCGUAAAUAUGGUGACUGUCUGAAAGAUAGGAAGGAUAUGCUGGCAGAAUUCUUCAAAACUUUGGACCCUGCGAAGUCUACAAUCUGUGUAGGUUUGGAUGCCAAGCGCAUGCAAAUGGCUUGGCGCGAUUCGAAGAAUAAGAUUGACUGUGGAGUUUUUGUCAUGCGUCCUAUGGAGACGUAAUAAGUAGGCCAAAGGGUGUCCAAAUGGGAGUGUGGCCUUACCAAAGGAGACACUACUAAGCUCCACCAGCUCAGGUUACAUUACAUGAAGGAAAUUGCGGCCUCCGAAUUCAAUAUGAAUAGAAGUAGGAACCUCAGACUGGUUUAUCAGUUUAUUUCUACUGUUUAGAGUACCAUUGAUUACUAUGACAGUGUAACUGUACUGUCACCGGGUUUGCCUAUUUGUUGGACUAGAUUGUUUACUUAUAGAUGGUUAGAAUAGCCUUCCUUGUACUGUAUCUAUUCAGUUUUGGGAUGCCGUAUUUAUUACUCUAUGAUAUUUCCAAUUAUUUUUGUACAGUGAUGUAUUCUUCUUCUCUACAAGUAUGUGGUGCCCCGUUGUGUGCACAGUGUGUAAUUGUGGGUGCACAACAUGCAUGCAUCCCUCUCCACUAAAAAUCGUUUCGGUUCGCUCA